rnacentral:rRNA from 1 species
UAGGGAAUCUUCCACAAUGGACGAAAGUCUGAUGGAGCAACGCCGCGUGAGUGAUGAAGGGUUUCGGCUCGUAAAACUCUGUUGUUGGAGAAGAACGGGUGUCAGAGUAACUGUUGACAUCGUGACGGUAUCCAACCAGAAAGCCACGGCUAACUACGUGCCAGCAGCCGCGGUAAUACGUAGGUGGCAAGCGUUGUCCGGAUUUAUUGGGCGUAAAGCGAGCGCAGGCGGUUUUUUAGGUCUGAUGUGAAAGCCUUCGGCUUAACCGGAGAAGUGCAUCGGAAACCGGGAGACUUGAGUGCAGAAGAGGACAGUGGAACUCCAUGUGUAGCGGUGAAAUGCGUAGAUAUAUGGAAGAACACCAGUGGCGAAGGCGGCUGUCUGGUCUGCAACUGACGCUGAGGCUCGAAAGCAUGGGUAGCGAACAGGAUUAGAUACCCUGGUAGUCCAUGCCGUAAACGAUGAGUGCUAAGUGUUGGAGGGUUUUCCGCCCUUCAGUGCUGCAGCUAACGCAUUAAGCACUCCGCCUGGGGGAGUACGACCGCAAGGUUGAAAC